CUGCGGUAGGACAUUACUGAAGUGAGGGCCCUCUGGGUCCAACCUCCCACCCCGUGUUUAUUGUACCUUGUUGCUUCGGCGGGCCCGCCUUUAUGGCCGCCGGGGGGCUUACGCUCCCGGGCCCGCGCCCGCCGAAGACACCCUCGAACUCUGUCUGAAGAUUGUAGUCUGAGUGAAAAUAUAAAUUAUUUAAAACUUUCAACAACGGAUCUCUUGGUUCCGGCAUCGAUGAAGAACGCAGCGAAAUGCGAUACGUAAUGUGAAUUGCAGAAUUCAGUGAAUCAUCGAGUCUUUGAACGCACAUUGCGCCCCCUGGUAUUCCGGGGGGCAUGCCUGUCCGAGCGUCAUUGCUGCCCUCAAGCACGGCUUGUGUGUUGGGCCCCGUCCUCCGAUCCCGGGGGACGGGCCCGAAAGGCAGCGGCGGCACCGCGUCCGGUCCUCGAGCGUAUGGGGCUUUGUCACCCGCUCUGUAGGCCCGGCCGGCGCUUGCCGAUCAACCAAAAUUUUUUCCAGGUUGACCUCGGAUCAGGUAGGGAUACCCGCUGAACUUAACAU
rnacentral:rRNA from 1 species